rnacentral:rRNA from 1 species
CGUCAAAUCAUCACGGCCCUUACGCCUUGGGCCACACACGUAAUACAAUGGCCGGUACAGAGGGCAGCUACACAGCGAUGUGAUGCAAAUCUCGGAAGCCGGUCUCAGUUCGGAUUGGAGUCUGCAACUCGACUCUAUGAAGCUGGAAUCGCUAGUAAUCGCGCAUCAGCCAUGGCGCGGUGAAUACGUUCCCGGGCCUU